GGGAAGCUUGAUUCGGGCUCGGCCCGAUCCUCCCACCCUUUGUGUACCUACCUCUGUUGCUUUGGCGGGCCGCGGUCCUCCGCGGCCGCCCCCCUCCCCGGGGGGGUGGCCAGCGCCCGCCAGAGGACCAUCAAACUCCAGUCAGUAAACGAUGCAGUCUGAAAAACAUUUAAUAAACUAAAACUUUCAACAACGGAUCUCUUGGUUCUGGCAUCGAUGAAGAACGCAGCGAAAUGCGAUAAGUAAUGUGAAUUGCAGAAUUCAGUGAAUCAUCGAAUCUUUGAACGCACAUUGCGCCCUUUGGUAUUCCGAAGGGCAUGCCUGUUCGAGCGUCAUUACAACCCUCAAGCUCUGCUUGGUAUUGGGCACCGUCCUUUGCGGGCGCGCCUCAAAGACCUCGGCGGUGGCGUCUUGCCUCAAGCGUAGUAGAACAUACAUCUCGCUUCGGAGCGCAGGGCGUCGCCCGCCGGACGAACCUUCUGAACUUUUCUCAAGGUUGACCUCGGAUCAGGUAGGGAUACCCGCUGAACUUAAGCAUAUCAUAAGACCCGAAGGGAA
rnacentral:rRNA from 1 species